AUUGAACGCUGGCGGCAUGCCUUACACAUGCAAGUCGAACGACAGCACGGGAGCAAUCCUGGUGGCGAGUGGCGAACGGGUGAGUAAUAUAUCGGAACGUGCCCAGUCGUGGGGGAUAACGUAGCGAAAGCUACGCUAAUACCGCAUACGAUCUAUGGAUGAAAGCGGGGGAUCGCAAGACCUUGCGCGAUUGGAGCGGCCGAUAUCAGAUUAGGUAGUUGGUGAGGUAAAGGCUCACCAAGCCGACGAUCUGUAGCUGGUCUGAGAGGACGACCAGCCACACUGGGACUGAGACACGGCCCAGACUCCUACGGGAGGCAGCAGUGGGGAAUUUUGGACAAUGGGCGCAAGCCUGAUCCAGCAAUGCCGCGUGCAGGAUGAAGGCCUUCGGGUUGUAAACUGCUUUUGUACGGAGCGAAACGGCUUCCACUAAUACUGGGGGCUAAUGACGGUACCGUAAGAAUAAGCACCGGCUAACUACGUGCCAGCAGCCGCCGUAAGAC
rnacentral:rRNA from 1 species